AUGCAAGGACCUGAAAAAUCAUUUAAAAAUACAAAUAACAAAUGCUUGGCCUCUGGAAUGAGCUGCAGGGUGUUCCAGAGCAAAGCCCUUCUCGCAUGCUGGUUCCCAAACUCUAGCUAUGUCUCCAUCCCACAGGGUCUCGUGAUGCUCCAUGCUGUGCAGGGACCAAGGCUACAAUCUGGGAGGGCCACAGGAGCCGACUCACCUCCUAUAUCCAUCUUUUUCCACAGGUUUUCCCUAUCUUUGAACACGUGUCUCCAUCAGGGACAGGGGCUGGUGGCUGCAGCCCUGACAGCAAGCAAGCUGAAGGAAUCCCUAGCAAAAUUCCUUCAUGUGACUCUUCCCUUGGUAAAACAGCCAGCUGUGAGCUUUUCCCUGAAACCCAUCCCUGCAAACACGGUGGAUCUACCAGAGUGAUUGCCGCAAUUUUCCCGGGAAAGGUGUAACGCUCCAAGCUGUCAGCACCACCAGCCCUACCUCCCAAGCUGUCAUCACCUCCUGUUAGCUCACUGGGCUACAGUUGCUUCAGAAAGCUGAAAAUAACCCGGUGCCAGAAGGGAAGGGGGGAAGCGGGCGGCGAGCGGUGCUGCUCCAUGCGGGAAUGAUGUGCCUCUGCCAGCCCUCCCGAGCCAACAGUGUCACCUCCACUGGGGGAUUCUCUGCCUGGCCCAGCUUUAAAUCACUCUCCGAGGCAAACUUCUCCUGUAAAACACUUUCAGCCUGCGUUGUUAUCUUUAUAUCAUUAUAUAUAAAUGCUUUGGUCGUUUGCAUCACAGUAAAUCCUACCUGGCAUUUGUGCCAGGGAAAACGCUCAUCUCUGCUGCCAAGGAGGAGGGUCAGGUGCUGGAGAGUGGAAAAUGAGACUGGAAAAUGAGUUUCCUUUGGUUUUGAAGCUCUGUAGAACUUCAUAAUAGGAGCUGGUGUGAUUCGGGCCAUGCACACACACACACACACAUCACUCAGGUUCAGUGCUCUCCACUGCUCUUAAGGCACCCAGCAUCUUCUCCAACUUCAUCCCCAGGCUGGUUUCCCAGUGAGUGGGAAGGGGAGGGAGAUGAAAAGGGAGCAGCAGCAGGAAUGGCUCAGUCUUGAGGCUCCAAUAACCAACUCUCCCUUUAUAACCAAAAAGCAUCUCA
rnacentral:lncRNA from 1 species